rnacentral:lncRNA from 1 species
CUGGCAAGCGCAUUCGCAUAUUUUUGCCUGCUCGUUUUUUUUGUACCUACCUUUAUUCGUCCGUUCGUUCGUUCAUUCCUUCAGCUGUAACUUUUCUUUCUUAAUCUGCUGCCACACGAAGAGGCGACAACUCCAACAUCGGUGCUUCUCCACCUUUCCCUCCUCCUUCUUCUCUCUCUCUUACUCUCUCUCUCUUACUCUCUCUCUCUCUUCCUCUCGCUUUUUCUGCUCCCAUCCUCAAACUCUCAAACGCUGAAUCAGCUGCUGGUGUACGGAUGCUCCUCCUGCCAUUCCCGUGAUCCACACGGGCCAUCUCUCUUGGUCUGCCACUACUGGGCUGUGAAGAGCUGCACCGCUACUACUCUACUGCACCGCUCUCCAUGCUAGAAUGCUUUGCUAAAGCUGGUAAAAUGGAACCAAAUCAACUGUUCUAUGGAUUUGGUCCCCUUCAACCAGCUGUAGCUGUGCAUUGAUCACCUCAAAGAACGGCGACACGGACGGGAGAAGGAAGAUCUGCGACUGUGCCAUCUCAUCGACACACACAUAUAUUUAUAUAUAUAUAUAUAUAUAUAUAUAUAUAUAUAUAUAUAUAUACACACACAUACAUACGAACAUUCAGUAUCUCCCACGACGUCGAUCUGGCAGGGUCUGACAGGAUCUGACUGUCCUGUGGAGCGCGCCUGUAUGGAUUUGCUGAUCCAGCCACAACGGCGGUCCGAUACAUUCCCCGCCGUUCUUUAUGAUGCCUAAUAACAUGAUUAAACACUCUGCGGGUUAUUAAAACCCGGGUGAGUAUUACCCAUGUCAUGCCUUCUGCUAUUUAUGAGCUGUAAUCUCUGAUUAUGUGUUCAAGCCAAAUCACUGUCACCACGGUACGGGGCGGCCGGGCUUUAUGGGUGCCCAUUGAUUUCUUGUCUCUCCGGUGAAAGAGAGAGAGAUGGGGAGGGAUGAGCCGAGAGGGAGGGAUGGAGGCAGGGCUGCUGGACGUCAGGGAUGUUGAAUAAGUAAAGCAAUCGUUCCUUUUCUCCUCUCCUCCCCCCUCCCGACUUCUCUUGUCGCGAUCCUUAAUGCAUGCGUCUGAUCAAUAAAAGCUCAUCCUGAGGUCCA